AUGGGGGCGGCGGAGGCGCCGGCCCUGGCGGCCGCGCCCGCCGCGGGGGGCGGGGUCGGGGGCGAGCCGCUGGAGCGGAGGGUGAUGGCGGCGGUCAAGGCGUCGGAGGCGCGCGGGGACCCGCCGCUGCUGCGCGCGGUGGAGAUCUCCCGCCUCGUCGCCGGGGAGCCCGGGGCCGGGGUCCCCAGCGCGGACCUCGCCGGGAUCCUCGUCUCCAACCUCUGCUUCGCGCACAACUCGCCCUCGCUCUGGAAGCUGCUCGACCAGGCCAUGUCGUCCCGCCUCCUCUGCCCGCUCCACGUCCUCGCGCUCCUCACCGCCAGGGUUCUGCCGCAGCGGCGGGCGCAGCCGGAGGCGUACCGGCUGUACCUGGAGCUGCUGAAGGGCAACGUCACGUCCUCCUCGCUGUCUCUCCUGGCCGGGUCUAAUCGUGACAAGAUAACGAAAUCCAUCGACGCUGCUCUGCAACUGUCCAAAAGCUACGGGGUUUCUGGAACGGACUUUGGGCAUGUUGUCAUCCUGUUUGUGUUGAUUGUUAUCACCAAACUGAUCGACUCCGUGCUGGAGGAUUGCGGUAUUUCAUCUGGAAUGACGCAGGACCAGGAGAGUGUAUAUCCCAUUGAAGGGCCACAGCCCAUGGACAUGGAUGUCAAGGGGGUCUCCGCUGUGAAGCAAAAUGAGCAGCGUGAACAGUUGCGUCGAAGGAACACCGUCAUGGCUUUGGAAGUGUUGCAUAUCAUGGCCGCUGAUACGAAGAUUCAGGCAUUUCUGCGCUUGAUAUGCCUUAACAUGCCUGACAAAUUCAGUGUUCUGAGCCAGAGGCUGACACUGAUUGAAGCUCACAAGAUGGCACUCGAGAGAUUAUUGCCUACUAGCCAUAAAAUUGAUGAUCUGGUGAUGUAUAUCUGGAGAGUGAGCAAUCUAGAUUACCAACCAAACAACAAACGGCUUGUGGGUGUUCUUGGUAACUUGAGAUCCAGCAAUUCCAUGCUGGGCCAACUUACAGGAGCUGGGAGAGCUGCCUGUUGGAUUAUAUUUGAUAUUUACAUGGAGAAUGCAAUGGAUGGGAGGCAUCUAGGCGGUAUAUCUGCUAUCGAGAUUAUAAAAGAAAUGUCCAAGACAGCCCAAGCAAUUAAUGAGGCAAGUUGGCAGGAAACUUUUAAAGCUCUUUGGAUUUCCGCCCUUCGUCUUGUACAGCGGGCUAGAGAACCUCUAGAGGGUCCAAUUCCUCAUCUAGACACAAGAUUAUGCAUGCUAUUAGCUCUUAUUCCACUAGCAAUUGCUGCAAUUCUCAAGGAAGAAACUGAUGCAUGUGGAGCUGAAGGAAACAAAAGUCUGCCCCGAAGACUAGGACUUGUAUCUUCUCUUCAGGAUUUGGUGCAAUAUUCAGGACUUCUUGUACCACCUUCAUCAUUAGUGAAUGUGGCCAAUGCUGCGGCUUCAAAAGCUGCAAUAUUUAGGGCCAACUGUAAGGUUGUUGGUGGCAACCCUAGCAUGAUUGGCCAGAGUGACUCUUCGACGAAAGCUGUUGGAAACAUGCUACAUCUUAUAGUUGAAGCCUGUAUUUCGAGGAAUUUGAUCGACACAACUGCUUACUUGUGGCCUGGUUAUGUUGUACUGCCGGGGCAUUCGAAGGAUACAUCUUUACCCCAGGAAUCGCCAUGGGUAAACUUUAUGCAAGGAGCUCCACUAUCUGAUCCACUGAAAAAUGCUCUCAUUGCUACUCCUGCUUCAAGUGUUGCAGAAUUGGAUAAACUGUACCACAUCGCAUUGAAUGGUUCAGAACAAGAAAAGUCAGCUGCAGCUAAAAUUGUUUGCGGUGCAUCACUUGUGCGUGGUUGGAAUAUUCAGGAACAUGUUGUCCGCAUGGUGGUCAAGUUAUUGUCGCCUCCUUUGCCCUCAGAUUCUUCAUUACAGGGGAGCAUGAGCCACUACCUUAGUCAGAAGUCUACCUUAAAUGCAAUCUUACUUGGUGUCUCAUAUGUCGAUGCUGUCCACAUUUUUUCUUUGUAUGGAAUGGUUCCAGAUGUUGCCGCAGCUUUAAUGCCACUCUGUGAAGCUUUUGGGUCAAUGCCACCCCCAUCUAACCACAGGUCUACCAUUGUUGAUGAAACGUCGGUUUACUCGGUCUUCUCUUGUGCAUUUCUUUGUCUUCUCCGGUUGUGGAAAUUUUACAAGCCCCCUCAAGAGUAUUGUCUUGCUGGCCGUGGAGGCUCAGUAAGUACGGGCUCGUUCGACGAGGUCCCAACCCAACCAAUUUAUAUUGACUCCUUCCCCAAGCUAAGGGCUUGGUACAUUCAGAAUCAAGCUUGCAUAGCCUCUACUCUUUCUGGACUUGGCAAUACAAAUCCUGUCCAUCAAGUUGCAAACAAAAUUUUGAGUAUGAUUUGCCGAAAAAUGACUAAAAGCGGGGUAGUAUCUGGUAAUCUUUCAUCUGCUUCCAGUAGCAGUGUCAGUGGUUCCUCUCUAAGUACAUCUGAUGAUUCUUACCAAAGGCCGACACUUCCAGCAUGGGAAUUUCUAGAAGCAGUUCCUUAUGUUCUUGAAGCUGUUCUUACAGCUUGUUAUCACGGGAGGAUUUCCAGCCGAGACAUGACUACCAGUUUACGGGAUCUAGUGGACUUCUUACCAGCUUCUCUUGCUGCAAUUGUUAGCUACUUCUCAGCAGAAAUUACACGAGGAAUAUGGAAAGCUGUCCCUAUGAAUGGAACUGAAUGGCCCAGCCCUGGUGCUGCUCUUCACUCCAUUGAAGAUGAAGUAAAGGAAAUCCUUGCAUCUGCUGGUGUUCAGAUUCAUAGCUGCUAUCCACGUGGUGUGCCGCCAAUGCUUCCUUUACCAAUGGCUGCACUUGUCAGCUUGACAAUUACGUUUAAGCUGGAUAGGAGUCUCGACUACAUUCACGGGAUCAUUGGUCAGGCACUGGAGAACUGUGCAGGGGGUAGUUCCUGGCCAAGCAUGCCCAUCAUAGGGGCCUUGUGGACACAGAAAGUGCGAAGGUGGCAUGAUUUUAUUGUCCUCUCAUGUAUUCGGUCUCCGUUUGGCAGAGACAAAGAUGCGGUGGCACAGCUCAUCCAAAGUUGCUUCUCAUCCUUUCUGCGCUCAUCCCCAUCCAGUGGGUCUGAUAUUACUGCAAGCCGUGGAGUUGGAGCUUUAAUGGGAGAGUCAAUCACAGGCCACCAAGGUCUUCAUUUUCCCAUGGCCCCUGGAUUCAUCUACCUGAGAACUUGUCGAACAUUCCACGAUACUUACUUUGUGAGCGAGAUGAUCCUCAGGCAAGUGAUUGAUUGUUCCCACAAACUUGCAAAUGGAUGGUCUUCCAAUGGGCCUCCGCAUUUAAAAUCAGGUCGACCGCCACUGUCUGGUGCUGCAUCCAUGGCUUCUCAGGUUGCCAUGCUUGGUGCGGGACUGCUGUGUGUUGCAGGGGGCCCUCUCCUGGUCCAGGUGCUAUAUGAGGAGACCUUGCCGACGCUACUGCUAUCAGCUCAGGAACAGAUGUUGGAAGACCCUGGACCGGUGGCCAGCACACUUCAAGGUUAUGCCAUGGCCAACAUGCUUUUCUUCUGUGGGAGUCUACUCUGGGGCUCAGAAAAGACUUCUCCCAUCAUGAAACUGUCAUUCCUCUCGAGAAGACCGCGAGUGGUGGGCACCCACAUGGAUUUCAUUGCUGGUGUUCUGGAUGGGCACAUCCUGCUGGGGUGCGACCCAGGUACGUGGAAGGCGUACGUAUCGUGCUUUGUAUUCCUUGUGGUGAAGUUUGUCCCGACAUGGCUACGGGACAUAAAACUGGACACACUGAAGAAGAUUGCCGUGGGGCUUCGAAGUUGGCACGAGCAUGAUCUUGCCCUAUCACUACUCGAGCGAGGAGGACCAAAGACAAUCUCUGCUGUAGUUGAAACCUUGCUACAAUGA
rnacentral:rRNA from 1 species